rnacentral:lncRNA from 1 species
AUUCUUUGGAUAAAUGUGUAUUUAGGUCUCCUGCCCACUUUUGGAUUGGGUUUUUUGUUUUGUUUUGCUUUGUUUUUUUUCUUUUUUUGCUGUUGAGUUGUAUGAGUUGUUUGCAUAUUUUGGAGAUUAAGCCCUGUCAAUUUUAUUACUUGCAACUAUUUUCUCUCAUGCUAUAUGCUUUCUUUUCAUUUUUUUAUGAUUUCCUUUGCUGUGCAAAACCUCGUAAGUUUGAUUAGGUCUCUUUGGUUUAUUUUUGUUUUUAUUUCUUGGGAGACUGACCUAAGAAAACAUUUAUAUGGUUGAUGUCAAAGAAUGUUUUUUUGCCUGUGUUCUCUUCUAGGACUUUUUUGGUGUCUUGUCUUAUGUUUUUCUUUUUCUUUUUUUUUUUUUUUUUUUUUUUUUUAGGGCCACACCUGUGGCAUAUGGAGAGUCCCAGGCUUGGGGUCUAAUUGGAGUUACGGCUGCCAGCCUACAGCACAGCCACAGCAAUGCCAGAUCCAAGCUGCGUCUGCAACCUACACCACAGCUCACGGCAAUGCCAGAUCCUUAACCUACUGAGCAAGGCCAGGGAUUGAACCCACAACCUCAUGGUUCCCAGUCGGAUUUGUUUCUGCUGCCAUGUGAUGGGAACUCCUAAGUCUUUGAGCCAUUUCGAAUUUAUUUUUUGUGCAUGGUGUGAGGAUCUGUUUGAAUUUCAUUGAUUUACAUGCAGCUGUCCAGUAUUUCUAGAACCACUUGCUGAAGAGACUUUCUUUUCCCCAUUCUAUAUUCUUGCCUCCUUUGUUGAAGAUUAAUUGACCAUAAUGUGUCUGGGUUUAUUUCUGAGCUCUCUAUUCUGUUCCAUUGGUCCAUAUGUCUGUUUUUGUACCAGUACCACACUGUCUUGAUUACUGUAGUUUUGUAACAUUGCCUGAAGUCUGGGAGAGUUGUGCCUCCUGCUUUUUGUUUUUUUCCCUCAGGAUUUCUUUGGCAAUACUGGGUCUUCCAUAUACAUUUUUGGAUUGUUUGUUCUAGUUCUUUGAAAAAUAUCAUGGGUAAUUUAAUAGGGAUCACAUUACAUCUGUGGUUUGCUUUGGGUAGUAUGGCCAUUUUAACAAUAUUAAUUCUUCCAAUCCAGGAGCAUGGGAUAUCUUUCAUUUCUUCAAAUCCUCUUUAAUUUCCUUGAAUAAUGUUUUAUAGUUCUCAGAAGAUAAGUCUUUUACCUCCUUGGUCAGAUUUAUUCCUAGGUAUUUAAUUUUUUGGGGUGCAACUUUAAAAAGUAUUUAAAAAAAUAUUCCUUUUAUAAUAUUACAUUGUUAACCUGGAAGCUUUAAGCUACCAAAAAAACCCCAAAAAACGAAAAACAAAAACUGAACUCACAUUCUUAAUUCUAAUUAUAUUUUUAACUCUAAAGAGUAAAAAGAUUUUUUUUUUCCAACCACUUGCAGCCAGAUAAGGAGGAUGGGAAUCAAGAAUUCUAGUCUCACUGAAGUGGAGAUGGCAGGUGGGGAGGGAGUGGCACGGAAAUAAGGUAUUUUCUCAUUAUUCUGAGCUCAAGUUCCUGGUGAGGUAUCUCUCUUUGCCGUGUCCUUGUGCUCAUCAUCUCAACUUGGUAACUUGCUGCUAGGCCUCUACCCCUAAUUGAGAAGAGAGAAACCAUUUUAGGGCAACUCCUGCACUUAAGCCACAUUCCCCACCUAAGACUGUCCAGUGCCCUGGGUGCCCUUGGCAGUCCCUGCCCUCCUUCUGGAAUGGGGGUGGAACUAGAGGAAGGAGCUGUAUGGGCUCAUGUUGAAUUCCCACGUUUAGAGCUGGAGGAAUAAGGCUCCCUGACUUCAGACUAUACUACAAAGCUACAGUCAUCAAAACUAUGGUACUGGAACAAAGACAGAAAUAUAGAUGAGUGGAACAGAGUAGAAAGCCCAGAAUUAAACCCAUGCACCUACAGUCAACUAGUCUAUGGCAAAGGAGGCAAGAAUAUACAAUAGAGAAAAGACAAUCUUUUCAAUAAGUGGUGCUGGGAAAACUGGAUAGCUACAAGUAAGAGAAUGAAAUUAGAACACUUCCUAACCCCAUACGCAAAAAUAAACUCAAAAUAUAUUAAAGACCUAAAUAUAACACUGGAUACUGUAAAACUCUUAGAGGGAAACAUAGCCAAACACUCUCCAGUAUAAACCACAACAAUAUCUUCUCAGAUCCACCUCCUAGAGUAAUGACAAUAAAAACAAAAGUAAACAAAUGUGACUUAAGAGUUUCUGCUCAGCAAAGGAAACUCUAAACAAAACAAAAAGAGAACCCACAGAAUGGGAGAAAAUAUUUGCAAAUGAAGCUACUGACAAGGGAUUAAUCUCCUAAAUUUAUAAAUAUGUCCUGCAGCUCAAUACCAAAAAAAACAAAGAACCCCAUCCAAAAAUGGGCAGAAGAUCUAAACAGACAAUUCUCCAAGAGGACAUACAGGCGGCCAAAAAACACAUGAAAAGAUGUAUUAUUAGAGAAAUGCAAAUCAAAACUACUAUGAAGUACCACCUUGCACUGGCCAGAAUGGCCAUCAUCAAAAGUCUAUAAACAAUAAAUGCUGGAGAGGGUGUGGAGAAAAGGGAAUCCUGUUACACUGUUGCUGGGAAUAUACAUUGGUACAACCACUGUGGAAACCAGUAUGGAGAUUCCUCGGAAAACUAAAAACAGAAUUACCAUUUGAUCCAGCAACCCCACUCCUUGGCAUCUAUCCAGAGAAAACUAUGACUUGCAAAGACACAUGUACUCCAAUGUUAAUUGCAGUACUCUGUACAGUAGCCAAGACAUGGAAAACCUAAAUGCCCAUGGACAGAGGAGUGGCUAAAGAAGUUGUGGUACAUAUACACAAUGGAGUAAUACUCAGCCAUUAAAAGGAAAGAACAGCAUUUGCAGUAACCUGGAUGGACCUAGAAAUUAUCAUGCUUAGUGAAGUCAGUCAGACAAUGAGACACCAACAUCAAAUGCUAUCACUUACAUGUGGGAUCUGAAAAAAGGACAGAAUGAACUUCUUUGCAGAACAGAUACUGUUAUGGUUUCCAAAGGAGACAGUUUGGAGGGUGGGGGGAUGCACUGGGGGUUUGGGAUGGAAAUGCUAUAAAAUUGGGUUGUGAUGAUCAUUGUACAACUAUAAAUGUAAUAAAUUCAUUG